rnacentral:misc_RNA from 1 species
GAUGAAGAACGCAGCGAAAUGCGAUACUUGGUGUGAAUUGCAGAAUCCCGUGAACCAUCGAGUCUUUGAACGCAAGUUGCGCCCGAAGCCAUUAGGCCGAGGGCACGCCUGCCUGGGCGUCACACGUCGUUGCCCCCCCCAUCUACUCCUUCGGGAUUGCGGGGGGCGGAUGAUGGCCUCCCGUGCGCCUCGCCGCGCGGUUGGCAUAAAUGCCAAGUCCUCGGCGACGCACGCCACGACAAUCGGUGGUUGCGAAACCUCGGUUGCCCGUCGUGUGCGGUCGUCGCACAUCGAGGGCUCGAAAAAAUUGCCGAGUUCCGGCUCGGCUUUCAACGCGACCCCAGGUCAGGCGGGGUUACCCGCUGAAUUUAAGCAUAUCAAUAAGCGGAGGA